UGGGUCGGCUGGACUGUCGCUGCCCGAGGCGGAGAAUUCUUCGACCGUCGGGGGGAGGAAAGUCCGGGCUCCAUAGGGCGCGGUGGUGGCUAACGGCCACCGUUCGAAGGCAACGUUAUAGGGGAAACCCCAUGCGCGUUGCUGAAGGACAGGGAAAGUGCAACAGAAAACGAACCGCCGGCCACGUUCGCGUGGUGGUAAGGGUGAAAAGGUGGGGCGGCUCAGCCGCUUAAUGUAAGAGCCCACCAGCAACCGGGUGACCGGUUGGCUUGGUAAACCCCACCGGGAGCAAGACCAAAUAGGAGGGGAGGGCCUGCCCGGCCCGUUAAUACUCUCGGGUAGGUCGCACGAGCCGACGGGCAACCGUCGGACUAGAGAAAUGACCGUCACUCGGGGUGAUGAGCCCCGGGAACAGAACCCGGCUUACAGGCCGGCCUGGCAU
rnacentral:RNase_P_RNA from 2 species